AGAGUUUGAUCAUGGCUCAGAUUGAACGCCGGCGGCAUGCCUUACACAUGCAAGUCGAACGGUGACAGGUCUUCGGAUGCUGACGAGUGGCGAACGGGUGAGUAAUACAUCGGAACGUGCCCGAUCGUGGGGGAUAACGAAGCGAAAGCUUUGCUAAUACCGCAUAAGAUCUACGGAUGAAAGCAGGGAACCGCAAGGCCUUGCGCGAACGGAGCGGCCGAUGGCAGAUUAGGUAGUUGGUGGGAUAAAAGCUUACCAAGCCGACGAUCUGUAGCUGGUCUGAGAGGACGACCAGCCACACUGGGGCUGAGACACGGCCCAGACUCCUACGGGAGGCAGCAGUGGGGAAUUUUGGACAAUGGGCGAAAGCCUGAUCCAGCCAUGCCGCGUGCAGGAUGAAGGCCUUCGGGUUGUAAACUGCUUUUGUACGGAACGAAAAGACUCUGGUUAAUACCUGGGGUCCAUGACGGUACCGUAAGAAUAAGCACCGGCUAACUACGUGCCAGCAGCCGCGGUAAUACGUAGGGUGCAAGCGUUAAUCGGAAUUACUGGGCGUAAAGCGUGCGCAGGCGGUUAUAUAAGACAGAUGUGAAAUCCCCGGGCUCAACCUGGGAACUGCAUUUGUGACUGUAUAGCUAGAGUACGGCAGAGGGGGAUGGGAAUUCCGCGUGUAGCAGUGA
rnacentral:rRNA from 1 species